ACCCCGCCCGGGAACUACGAGCAAAGCUUAAAACCCAAAGGACUUGGCGGUGCCCUAUUCCACCUAGAGGAGCCUGUUCUUUAAUCGAUAAUCCACGAUUCACCUCACCAUUUCUUGCCUAAACCGCCUAUAUACCGCCGUCGUCAAUUUACCCUUUGAAGGAACCAUAGAAGGUUAAAAGGUUGCCCACCAAAACGUCAGGUCAAGGUGUAGCGAAUGAAAUGGGAAGAAAUGGGCUACAUUUUCUAUUAUAGACCAAACGGAUAAUCAGUAUGAAAUCUGAACAUGAAGGAGGAUUUAGUAGUAAAAAGAAAUCAUCAAGUUCUUUUUAACAUGGCCCUAGGGCGUGCACACACCGCCCGUCAC
rnacentral:rRNA from 1 species